rnacentral:rRNA from 1 species
GACGAACGCUGGCGGCGUGCUUAACACAUGCAAGUCGAACGGAAAGACGCUGCUUUUGUGGGGCGCUCGAGUGGCGAACGGGUGAGUAACACGUGAGUAACCUGCCCUUGACUAUGAGAUAACUUCAGGAAACUGAGGAUCACAUCGGAUAUGAGCUCCUGCUGCGUGGGGGGGGAUGGAAAGUUUCGGUCGUGUGGGCUGGACUGGCGGCUUAUCAGCUGCUUGGUGGGGUAGUGGAAUACCAAGGCUUUGACGGGUAGCCGGCCUGAGAGGGUGACCGGGCCCAAUGGGACUGCGAUAGGGAGCAGACGGCUACGGGAGGCAGUGGUGGGGAGUAUUGCACAGCGGGGCGAAGUCUGAGGAGGCGACGUCGGGUGCGGGAUGACGGCUUUCGGGUUGUAAACCGCUUUCGCCUGUGACGAAGCGUGAGUGACGGUACCGGGUAAAGAAGCACCGGCUAACUACGUG